AUUUUCACAACUGCCACGGCGUCCUUGCUGAUCAUCAUUUUUUCUUCAUAAAAGGCUUCGAAGAAAUGAAAUUUUCAAGGACGUUGCUCAUUUUUCAAGAUGGCGUCCACUGUUGCUGAUCGCUGUUCAUUGCUCCUCAUAUUUUUCAUCAAAAAUGAUUUAGAAUACUGGGAAAAUUCUGAGCAAUACAAAAUUCAGCUUCCUCCGAGGGAAUAUACAUAUUGAAAUUCAGAUGGAGAACGGAUGAACCUGCGGGAGGCUAAAAGGAUCAAAGCGGUUCAAAUAAGGAUCAUUGCCCUCAACACUCCUCUAUAAAGUGAAAAAUCAUCAAUAUUUGAAUUGAAGAAUUUUAAUGAAACGAUGAGUGGAAGAAAUAACGUGUCCAUGGAACUUAUUUUUACAAAAACAACCAGUAAAAGUGAAGCUGAAAAAAUCAAUGAAUUUUGGAAAUUUAUUGAAUCACAGGAUGAUAUUAAACCGUAUCAAGUGGAGAAAAAAGCAGAUGAUGCUAAAUCAUUUAAGAUUAAAGAUAAAUCAUUAGAUAGUGAAAAAGUGGAUAAAGAUGAAAAUAUUUGGUACAAGGAGAAAUUAUUAUUUAAAAAAUUUGGAUUGGACAAAGUUGCUCUCAGCAGAUGCGA